rnacentral:rRNA from 1 species
UACGAAGGGGGCGAGCGUUGUUCGGAUUUACUGGGCGUAAAGGGCGCGUAGGCGGCGGGGUAAGUCUGGUGUGAAAUCUAGGAGCUCAACUCCUAAACUGCACUGGAUACUGCUCUGCUAGAGGACUGGAGAGGAGACUGGAAUUCACGGUGUAGCAGUGAAAUGCGUAGAUAUCGUAAGGAAGACCAGUGGCGAAGGCGAGUCUCUGGACAGCAACUGACGCUGAGGCACGAAGGCCAGGGGAGCAAACGGG